GAACGUAGGUGGCGAACGUUAUCCGGAAUUAUUGGGCGUAAAAGGGGUGCGUAGAUGGUAGAAUAAGUUAUCAGUGAAAGCGAGGCCCAACCUCGUGGAAGUUGGUAAUACUAUUUUUGCUAGAGUGCAGGAGAGGUUAACGGAAUUCCAUGUGGAGCGGUAAAAUGCAAAGAUAUAUGGGAGAACACCAAUACAGCGAAGGCAGUUAACUAUUCUGUUACUGACAUCGAGGCACGAAAGCGUGGGGAGCGAAACGG
rnacentral:rRNA from 1 species